rnacentral:rRNA from 1 species
UCAGGAUGAACGCUGGCGGCGUGCUUAACACAUGCAAGUCGAGCGAAGCACUCUGGAAGAUUCCUUCGGGAUGAUUCCUUAGUGACUUAGCGGCGGACGGGUGAGUAACGCGUGGGCAACCUGCCUUGUACAGGGGGAUAACAGUUAGAAAUGACUGCUAAUACCGCAUAAGCACACAGCAUGGCAUCAUGCAGUGUGAAAAAACUCCGGUGGUACAAGAUGGGCCCGCGUUGGAUUAGCUAGUUGGUGGGGUAACGGCCCACCAAGGCGACGAUCCAUAGCCGGACUGAGAGGUCGAACGGCCACAUUGGGACUGAGACACGGCCCAGACUCCUACGGGAGGCAGCAGUGGGGAAUAUUGCACAAUGGAGGAAACUCUGAUGCAAGCGACGCCGCGUGAGUGAUGAAGUAUUUCGGUAUGUAAAGCUCUAUCAGCAGGGAAGAAGACGACGGUACCUGACUAAGAAGCCCCGGCUAACUACGUGCCAGCCGCGGC